rnacentral:rRNA from 1 species
GAUGAACGCUGGCGGCGUGCCUAAUACAUGCAAGUCGAGCGAACAGACGCGGAGCUUUCUCCUCUGACCUUAGCGGCGGACGGGUGAGUAACACGUGGAUAACCUACCUAUAAGACUGGGAUAACUUCGUGCAACCGGCGCUAAUACCGGACAAUAUAUUGAACCGCAUGGUUCAAUAGUGAAAGACGGUUUUGCUAUCACUUAUAUAUGGUUCCGCGCCGCAUUAUCUAGUUGGUAAGGUAACGGCCUACCAAGGCAACGAUGCGUAGCCGACCUGACAGGGUGAUCGGCCACCCGGGAACUGAGACACGGCCCAGAGACCUAAGGGAGGAAACAGUAGGGAAUCUUCCGCAAGGGGGGAAAGAGGGACGGAGCAAAACCGCGGGAGGCAUGAUGGUCUACGGAUCGGAAAACGCUGUAAGUAGGGAAGAACAAAAGUGUAAGUAAAAAUGCACGUCAUGACGGUAACUAAUCAGAAAGCCACGGCUAACUACGUG